rnacentral:rRNA from 1 species
CCUACGGGAGGCAGCAGUGGGGAAUAUUGGACAAUGGGCGCAAGCCUGAUCCAGCCAUACCGCGUGGGUGAAGAAGGCCUUCGGGUUGUAAAGCCCUUUUGUUGGGAAAGAAAAGCAGUCGAUUAAUACUCGGUUGUUCUGACGGUACCCAAAGAAUAAGCACCGGCUAACUUCGCGCCAGCAGCCGCGGUAAUACGAAGGGUGCAAGCGUUACUCGGAAUUACUGGGCGUAAAGCGUGCGUAGGUGGUUGUUUAAGUCUGUUGUGAAAGCCCUGGGCUCAACCUGGGAAUUGCAGUGGAUACUGGGCGACUAGAGUGUGGUAGAGGGUAGUGGAAUUCCCGGUGUAGCAGUGAAAUGCGUAGAGAUCGGGAGGAACAUCCAUGGCGAAGGCAGCUACCUGGACCAACACUGACACUGAGGCACGAAAGCGUGGGGAGCAAACAGGAUUAGAUACCCUGGUAGUCCACGCCCUAAACGAUGCGAACUGGAUGUUGGGUGCAAUUUGGCACGCAGUAUCGAGCUACGACGUUAGUUCGCCGCCGUCGGGAGGUACGGUCGGUCGAGACGUUAGAACGUACGAAAGGAAGUUAGACGGCGUUGAGACGNGCCGACGGACGACGACGAGGGAGGAGG